rnacentral:rRNA from 1 species
CCUACGGUAGACAGCAGUGAGGAAUAUUGGUCAAUGGGCGCGAGCCUGAACCAGCCAAGUAGCGUGAAGGAUGACUGCCCUACGGGUUGUAAACUUCUUUUAUAAAGGAAUAAAGUGAGGCACGUGUGCCUUUUUGUAUGUACUUUAUGAAUAAGGAUCGGCUAACUCCGUGCCAGCAGCCGCGGUAAUACGGAGGAUCCGCGCGUUAUCCGGAUUUCUCGUGUUUAAAGGGAGCGUAGAUGGGUUGUUAAGUCAGUUGUGAAAGUUUGCGGCGCAACCGUAAAAUUGCAAUUGAGACUGGCAGCUUUGAGUACAGUUGAGGUAGGCGGAAUUCGUGGUGUAGCGGUGAAAUGCUUAGAUAUCACGAAGAACUCCGAUUGCGAAGGCAGCCUACUAAACUGCCACUGACAUUGAUGCUCGAAAGUGUGGGUAUCAAACAGGAUUAGAUACCCCGGUAGUC